CCUUGGCAAAAGUAGUCGACGUGGCGUGCCUUUUGCUGGCAGUGAUAGGCUGCUUUGCCAUCAUGUCAUCCAGCGUUGUGAUUGUGGGUGACUCCAUCUGUGGAGGCGAUGCGGAUCAGAAGCUGAGCACGAGCUCCGAAGAAGUGUAUCUUCGUGGAUUUAACACCUUUGCGGGGAAUAAUCCCAGUGACGUGGCUCUGCUCCACGAAGGAGCUGGCGAAAUCGUGGCUGCUAUCAGUGGGCACAUAGAGGUGACCGAACGAGUGAUUUCGGUGAAGGGUCUGGUGCCGCGGUACCAACCGGAAAUCGGGGAUGUUGUAGUCGGGCGCAUCUUGGAAGUUUCAGGAAACAAGUGGCAAGUUGAUGUGAACUCAACUCAAACCGCGAUUAUGCUGCUUUCAAGCGUAACGGAGCCUGGAGGCAUACUGCGGCGUCGAGGCCGCGGUGACGAGCUCGGGAUGCGCCAGAUCUUCGACCAAGAUGAUCUGGUUGCGGCAGAGGUUCAACGCAUCUCUCCCGAUGGUGUGAUGUCACUGCACACACGCGCAGCGGAGAAAUAUGGUCUGCUGUCGGGACCGGGUAUUUUGGUGACUGUUCGGCCCUCUUUGGUGAAACGCGCAAAGCACCAGUUUGCAGAACUUGCGAACUACCGCACGCAGCUGAUCAUCGGCAUGAAUGGUAACAUAUGGAUUUGCUCAUUGCAACCCUCUGCUAGCGACGCGGAGGAGACGGAGCACGCCACUGACGCACGUCAAAACGUGGCGCGUGUUGCAAACUGCAUCAAAGCACUAGGAGCGGCGCAAGUCCAGAUUCACCCAGCAUCGAUAGAGGCCAGUGUUGCGGCGUCAUUAGAGGCAGGUUUGUCGGUGUUUGAUGUUUCGCUUUCAAAGCACAGAGAUGCACUUGUGGCACGCGUUGCUGAUAUGGUGGGAUUGCAACACCGUCGCCCUGCUGGCGGUGGUGCUUCCGCGCGAACGCUGGUGUAGAGGCGAUCACGUGUACUUUUUUUUUCUUUGAAAAGCAGUGUUGUUUUGUGUGGCACUAAUUCGAUUCUUGCUCUGAGUGGGGUAAUCGAAGUAUUUCGUAGCGUGUGACUACCUGACUUACUUAGAGGAAUACGAAAGAAAAUGAAUCUGACUAUUU
rnacentral:misc_RNA from 1 species